GUGCCAGCCGCCGCGGUAAUACGAAGGGGGCUAGCGUUGCUCGGAAUUACUGGGCGUAAAGGGAGCGUAGGCGGAUAGUUCAGUCAGAGGUGAAAGCCCAGGGCUCAACCUUGGAAUUGCCUUUGAUACUGGCUGUCUUGAGUAUGGGAGAGGUUAGCGGAACUCCGAGUGUAGAGGUGAAAUUCGUAGAUAUUCGGAAGAACACCAGUGGCGAAGGCGGCUAACUGGCCCAUUACUGACGCUGAGGCUCGAAAGCGUGGGGAGCAAACAGGAUUAGAAACCCCCGUAGUCC
rnacentral:rRNA from 1 species